rnacentral:tRNA from 1 species
GCCUAAUUAGCGUGGAGGGUAGCGCGUCUGCCUUGUAAGCGCUAGGUCGCGGGUUCGAUUACCGUACGGGGCG